AACGAACGCUGGCGGCAUGCCUAACACAUGCAAGUCGAACGAGACCUUCGGGUCUAGUGGCGCACGGGUGCGUAACGCGUGGGAACCUGCCCUUAGGUUCGGAAUAACUCCCCGAAAGGGGUGCUAAUACCGGAUAAUGUCUUCGGACCAAAGAUUUAUCGCCUUUGGAUGGGCCCGCGUUGGAUUAGCUAGUUGGUAGGGUAAAAGCCUACCAAGGCGACGAUCCAUAGCUGGUCUGAGAGGAUGAUCAGCCACACUGGGACUGGGACACGGCCCAGACUCCUACGGGAGGCAGCAGUGGGGAAUAUUGGACAAUGGGCGAAAGCCUGAUCCAGCAAUGCCGCGUGAGUGAUGAAGGCCUUAGGGUUGUAAAGCUCUUUUACCCGGGAUGAUAAUGACAGUACUGGGAGAAUAAGCUCCGGCUAACUCCGUG
rnacentral:rRNA from 1 species